GACGAACGCUGGCGGCGUGCUUAACACAUGCAAGUCGAGCGAGGUCCAACCGGUGGCAACACCGGGGAAGACCUAGCGGCGAACGGGUGAGUAACACGUGAGCAACCUGCCCCGAAGACUGGGAUAACACCGGGAAACCGGUGCUAAUACCGGAUGCCCUCACCGGGUCGCAUGACCUGGUGAGGAAAUGAAUUUUGCUUCGGGAGGGGCUCGCGGGCUAUCAGCUUGUUGGUGGGGUAACGGCNCACCAAGGCUACGACGGCUAGCUGGUCUGAGAGGACGAUCAGCCACACUGGGACUGAGACACGGCCCAGACUCCUACGGGAGGCAGCAGUGGGGAAUCUUGCGCAAUGGGCGAAAGCCUGACGCAGCAACGCCGCGUGGGGGAUGAAUGCCUUC
rnacentral:rRNA from 1 species